rnacentral:lncRNA from 1 species
CAGCCCCAUAAGCUUUGCUGGCGGAGGCGGGAUUUAUGACCUAUACUGCAGCCCAUCACCAGAGGGUGCUGUUCUCAGAGUGGCUUAACCCAGCAGACGGCGUCGAUUCUAUAUACAGUCUAUGGUUGGUAGCUACCCAUAUUUUUAUUUUGAUGCUAAUACUUUCGUGUUUUUACUUGUUUUGGAUGCAGCACUUUUACUCGUUCCAUGCUAAUCAUACAAGUAACAGGUUGUUAAAUUGAAACCAAAGGUGCAGUACAUAGAAAUGGAAAGAGUUUAUAGUAUCUAGAGGUCAAGUUCUAUAUUGGACUGCUCCCUUGCUCACCCCUGUCAGUAAAGCAAUAGUGUUUUGAGGUUAUGGAUGUUUCUGUUUUGAUUUUUUUAAACCAGAAGUGACUAAAUUUGUAGGGAUAGGUGGGAACAAGUAGCUGCAUUUCUACCCUGGUUGGCGACUUGUCAAUCACAGGUAGCCCCACCCCCAAAAUCCUGCCUACCUUUCUAGCCAGUUUGACUCUAAAUGAGAUUUAGAUCAUAAACUCAUUUGGGAAACAUUUACUGAGGGAAUCUAUCAACUGACAGCUCUGACUUCUAUAUGAUCAGACAAGUAGUGUCGCCCCCUACUGGAAAUAAUAGGUUUUGUUAAUCCUUCAGCAUACUCUUGCAGCAUACUCAUACCCUCCUCAUCUCUCUGUCUUUCUCUCUCUUUCUCUCUUCAGGUUGAGAGAUGCUCGCUCGCCCCGGUGGCCUCCUGACUCGAUCCAGAUUUGUGUUUUAUUUCAGCUGGUUGUUCUCCGACCGUUACACGCUGCCGGAGAUAAUCCUCUUAACUCUCGCUCUCAGUCAGAGACGGACAUCCUCUGAUGCUCUGGACAAAAAUAAUAUCACAGUUCGUUUCAGAUACAGUGUCCAUGUCCUGCUUACCUAAACCCAACAGGUAAUCCUGCACAGCUGCAUCACUACGAACUAUCAUAACUAUAUUUUACUGUGGCGCUGAAUGAGGAACUUUACAACAGUGAGUGAAGCUCAUUGGUAAAAAAAAAACACAUUUCGGAAAUGAUAAUGUGUGUAAAAUUGAUGCUCUUUUAAAAAUUUGACACCAACAAUAUUCAUUACUGCAUCCAUUUUAAAAAGCGUGAACUCUCCCUUUAAACACUCAGUUUUAAUUGCCUCCCAAAGCAUCACACGGCUCAUCCCUAAUGCUGCGAGAUGCAUGUUUUACUAUUGUUAUCGAUCCUCCAGAACGAUAUCUUUAAACACAUCAUAGUUUUAUAUUCUGUCGCAGAAAUUAAAAGUCUAACCGUGUAGAAUAUUUGUCUUUUUUAUUAUCUUCCUCAUGGCCCUCAUUCUUGUCUAUAAACUGCAUCGUCUAUACUGUACCUUAUUACUUUCAUGGAUCAAUACCUCCAUUUUAUUCUCUCUUUCCCCCUGUAGGUGUGAGAGACUCUGAUCACAGUUAAAGAUGCGACCAGUCGUCCGAAAAAUGGCCUCCGGGGAUUCUUGAUCAAUGAGCUGACUGAGCUGUAUUGAUCUCGCCCCUGCCCAUCCCGCAGUGGAGAUUCCAGAGUGUGUGAAUAAACAAAAGCACACACCUGUUGAUGAGCUAAAGGAUGGUGACACACCAAAAAGAUAAUGUUGAUGCAACGGCUGCUCUAACUAAAACACACGCUGUUCCUGUGCUUAAUGAAAGAGUCUCUCCAACCUAGACAGUGUCUCAAAGAGUGAGAAGUGAAACUCAACGGGUACCUGGGAAAAGACAAGGCUAACACAUGAUGAAUACACCAGA